UACGAAAGGUGCAAGCGUUACUCGGAAUCACUGGGCGUAAAGGGUGCGUAGGUGGCGCUGUAAGUCGGGUGUGAAAUUUCGGAGCUUAACUCCGAAACUGCAUUCGAUACUGCGGUGCUUGAGGACUGGAGAGGAGACUGGAAUUCAUGGUGUAGCAGUGAAAUGCGUAGAGAUCAUGAGGAAGACCAGUGGCGAAGGCGGGUCUCUGGACAGUUCCUGACACUGAGGCACGAAGGCCAGGGGAGCAAACGGGG
rnacentral:rRNA from 1 species